rnacentral:rRNA from 1 species
UGCCAGCCGCCGCGGUAAUACGGAGGGUGCAAGCGUUAAUCGGAAUUACUGGGCGUAAAGCGCGCGUAGGCGGCUUAGUUAGUCGGAUGUGAAAUCCCCGGGCUUAACCUGGGAACUGCAUUCGAUACUGCUGGGCUAGAGUAUGGAAGAGGGAAGUGGAAUUCCGGGUGUAGCGGUGAAAUGCGUAGAUAUCCGGAGGAACACCAGUGGCGAAGGCGACUUCCUGGGCCAAUACUGACGCUGAGGUGCGAAAGCGUGGGGAGCAAACAGGAUUAGAUA